rnacentral:rRNA from 1 species
UACGUAGGGGGCAAGCGUUGUUCGGAAUUACUGGGCGUAAAGGGCUCGUAGGUGGCCAACUAAGUCAGACGUGAAAUCCCUCAGCUUAACUGGGGAACUGCGUCUGAUACUGGAUGGCUUGAGUUUGGGAGAGGGACGCGGAAUUCCAGGUGUAGCGGUGAAAUGCGUAGAUAUCAGGAAGAACACCCGUGGCGAAGGCGGCUCUCUGGGACGGUACUGACGCUGAGACGCGAAAGCGUGGGGAGCGAACAGG